rnacentral:rRNA from 1 species
GACAUAGGUGGCGAACGUUAUCCGGAAUUACUGGGCGUAAAGGGCUCGUAGGUGGCCAACUAAGUCAGACGUGAAAUCCCUCGGCUUAACCGGGGAACUGCGUCUGAUACUGGAUGGCUUGAGUUUGGGAGAGGGAUGCGGAAUUCCAGGUGUAGCGGUGAAAUGCGUAGAUAUCUGGAGGAACACCGGUGGCGAAGGCGGCAUCCUGGACCAACACUGACGCUGAGUGAGCGAAAGCCAGGGGAGCAAACGGG